CCUGUUGCUUUCACACUCUUCAGUCGAUCAGCCAUGGACAAAGGUUUGCUGCUGGUCCUGUUGUGUCUGCAGGUCGUCCUGCUCACCACAGCCUUCACUUCUGCUGAUGAAGCCGCUCUGCUGAGAGAUGAUCAGCAUCAACUCCAGCCUGUUGAUCCGACGACAAGUGUGCAGCAAGUGAAAGAAAGAGAACAGACAGAGAAGAAACCUUCACUGAGGGGACCCUGCGGGAUCAGACCAGGAGCAUGCACAUUGAUUGGAAAGGCACCUGAAGCCAACCAUUCUUAGACCAACAAUCUAGAGUGAAGCUCUGCACUGCCACCAGAUAUGGAAGCCUGCAAUCGGAUGAAGAUAACUGUAAUGCUUACAAAACAAUGCAAGUGCUUUUUAUAAAAAAAUAAAAUGUUUCAAAAUCA